rnacentral:rRNA from 1 species
UACGUAGGGUGCAAGCGUUAAUCGGAAUUACUGGGCGUAAAGCGUGCGCAGGCGGUUAUGUAAGACAGUUGUGAAAUCCCCGGGCUCAACCUGGGAACUGCAUCUGUGACUGCAUAGCUAGAGUACGGUAGAGGGGGAUGGAAUUCCGCGUGUAGCAGUGAAAUGCGUAGAUAUGCGGAGGAACACCGAUGGCGAAGGCAAUCCCCUGGACCUGUACUGACGCUGAGGAGCGAAAGCCAGGGGAGCAAACGGG